CUCAGUUCGGAUCGGAGUCUGCAACCCGACUCCGUGAAGCUGGAUUCGCUAGUAAUCGCGCAUCAGCCAUGGCGCGGUGAAUACGUUCCCGGGCCUUGUACACACCGCCCGUCAAGCCAUGGGAGCCGGGGGUACCUGAAGUCCGUAACCGCGAGGAUCGGCCUAGGGUAAAACUGGUGACUGGGGCUAAGUCGUAACAAGGUAAC
rnacentral:rRNA from 1 species